GAAAUCCUAGAAAUUGCUCUUAAAACCUAAAAUAGUUCAAACUCUAAUCCAAACCCUAAACCCUAAGGGUUUGACAAGUUACCAUUUUACCAUUAAAAAUAAAAAUUAAAUGACCCUUUUACCCUUAGUUGUAUUAUUGAAGCUAGAAUAGGUUUUGACAUUUAGGUGAGUUGGUGACUAACUCAUACCCACCCCACAUGCUCAAAAUCUCAGAUCAGCCAGUAGAUCAGCAACAUACAAUGUAUACAAGCAUUAUAAAUAGAAUUGGAGAGAGAAAAAGUGUACAUUUUGCUCAUUUACUCACCCACACUCCAUCAAGUCCCUCUCUCUCUCUCUAACCUCCGAAAUAUAAAAGUAUAUCAAUCCCAAAUCAAAGCCCCACGAUCAAACAUAACAAAUCAAAAGCCUUGAAUCAAGAACUUGAUCAUAGAAGGUAUAAACCCUACCUAAGAAUCUGACCAUCGAUCUGUGGUUUGAUGUUGUUUUUUUGUGUUAAGCAUGUUCUAUGUAGUGUCUAAUGAUGAUAUGGGUUGAUAGAUGUUAGAUCCAUAACAUCUAUAGGCUCAGAUUUGAAGAUCUAAAGAAUCUGGAAAUCUGGAAAUUUGUGUCUGACAGCCUAAUGUCAGACCUCAUAGAUCUUUGUAUGUUAUGUAUUUUUGUUGUUUAAAUGUUUGAUCUUGUAGUAUGUUAUGAGGUCUUUCAUCUGGAACUCGAAUCAGGGUCAGAACUGGUUUAUAUUGUAAGUUAUUCUUGGUCAAAGGUCGUUGACAGACCAUGACUUCUCCUUUUCUGGGUAACCCAGAAUUUCCCAGAUCGGUCUGACAGAUUGUUCAUGGGCUUUGAUCUUGCAGGUUAUACGUGUUUUGUAUAUUGUGUUGCAUCAGUGUUAUAGUAUGUUAGAUGGACUACACUCUGAAGCCUUUAAAUCACCUAUACAUCAUACUGGAUGAAAGUAGUAACCGGUCAAAGUAGCUAGGUAGUUCACGUUUACAGUUUUUUGGGUAACCCAGAAAACCUAUGAACGUGGUUCCUGACAUUCUUUGAUCGGCAUGGAUUUGCUUACUGUGAUGUUUUUAGACUUGUUUUAUACUAUGUAACUGAUGUCUUGCAUGUUGUCUACACACUAGAACACUUAAAUUACCAAACCAGUACAUGUGUUGCAAGUAGUAGAAGCCUAAAAGUGGCCACUCGAACUGUUCAUCAUUUAUGGGUAACCCAGAAAUGAUGAACAGCUCUGACAGCCAUUUCAGAAGCCUAGAUCUCAAUUGUGUUAUGUUGUUUGAUUACUAUUGUUGUUAAUACUUGUAGUAUUACAUUUAUACUACAAGAUCAAAGUCAUAUCACACCCAGAAGCUUUAUGAUCUGUUAGAUAUUGUUGGUCAAAC
rnacentral:lncRNA from 1 species